UACAACAUAACGUUAAUGCCCCAAAUCCCAUUCUAAAAUUUGCAGCUAAGCAAGCUUAGGCUAGAGUAGUACUAGGAUGGGUGACCGCCUGGGAAGUCCUAGUGUUUUAC
rnacentral:rRNA from 1 species